AUGGAGUUUCGCUAUGUUGGUCAAGCUGGUCUCAAACUCCUGACCUCAGGUGAUCCACCUGCCUCAACCUCUCAGAGUGCUGGGAUUACAGGCGUGAGCCACUGCACCCAGCCCCAUCUGACUUCUAUGCCCGCAGCCCCUUCCUUUACCCUCAGGCUGCCCCAGUCUCCACAUUGGGGCCCAGAGCUGGGCUGGACUCAGUGCAGUCAGAACCUGGCCUUGCCCGUGGUGAAGGAGCGGCAGGCGGGCGGGGGAGCAGUACAACCAGCUUCCUCCUGGCCCGCAGUUUCGCAGAGCAGCCUGGAAAGGGAGGCCCAGGCUUCCCUCCCUCGUUGCACGUGUGUCUGCAGUGUCUGUGCUAUCUCCCCGGGGCCUGGACGUCGAUGGAAGGCCUGAGGGUGGAGAGAGCAGGGACGCGAAGCAUCCCCAGGGCUGUGGCUGAGGCCCACCCUGGCGGCCUCAGCCUCUGUGGAGAUGUGUAGAGACAGGGAGAGUGAACGGGGACCAACCUCAGGAGACGCUGGGUCCCAGAAGCACCAUGUGCUGCUCGUUUGGUGAGACUUAAUUACUCUAUAAAAUGUAAGGCUACUCCCACUUAUCAAAUUAUAGAUGAGUUUAAUUACAGCGCACUGAGUAACCACACUGGGCUCCUUCAGAAAUAGCAGCAGGCUGACUGCUCUUCUCAGCUUCAGCUGUAGCCACCCCAGUUUCAGGAGGAAGUGCCCGUGGUUCCUGGGGCCUGGGAGCGCCACUCAACUCUGCUGCCAGACAACAAGAGCGGGUGUGGUGGACUGCACUGGGUACACUGCCGUACCGGCCACCACCCUCCGGCCACUCUCAGCCGGUGAGUGCUCUGUGGGGCCAUCUGGCCACGUGUUCUGUGACUGGGUCAUUUACUCUGCUGCGACCUCUCUUUCUCCUACCUACAUUGCGUUCUGGACAAAGGUUUUGGCUCAUAAUGUCCGACCAGAGGUGGACAAAGUGGUGUGGGACCUGCCGUAAGAAACAGAGGGAGUAUGGCGCGGGGAGGGAAGCCUGUACCUUAGGGACACUCGGGGCACCUUCAGGAAGCAGGGUCAACAGCAGCAGGCCACUAGGGAGUGGGGAGAGCCCGGUGACAUCACGAGGGGCAUCAGACUCUUCCCUGCAGGCUGGCAGGACUGAUGGGCUCUCGUUCCAGUGGAGGUACAGUGGGACUUCCAGGGCUGUGAUGGGAAGGGCGGAGGAGCUGCCGACGGUCCCAGUGCCGUAUUAGUGUCACAUUCUGAGGGGCAGCCCUGUGCCGGACAGCAGCUGCUACCUCUCCCUCUGCCCCUUUAUUACUUGAAUCUCUUUGUUGUGCCAGGCCCUAUCUAGGCACGGGCGGCCAACAGCAGGUAGCCCACUGCCCUCCCAGAGCUCACUGUCUAGCCCAGGGUAGCCCAGGGUAACCCAGGGUAACCGUGGCCAUGACUUGGGCCAGGAACUGAGAGGCUUGAUUCCAUCACAUGUAAAUAAAAAUAGUCAUUUUCAAUCGAA